rnacentral:RNase_P_RNA from 1 species
GGAGUUGGCCAGGCAAUCGCCGCUUUCUUAUGAAAGGGGAGGAAAGUCCGGGCUCCAAAGGGCAGGGUGCCAGAUAACGUCUGGGCGGCGUGAGCCGACGACAAGUGCAGCAGAGAGUAGACCGCCUAUGUUAGCUCGCUAACAGGUAAGGGUGAAAGGGUGCGGUAAGAGCGCACCGCGUGCCUGGCAACAGGUUACGGCGAGGUAAACUCCACCCGGAGCAAGACCAAAUAGGAUCCCUUAACGUGUGGCCCGCAUGGGGAUCGGGUAGGUUGCUUGAGCUAGUGAGUGAUUGCUAGCCUAGAGGAAUGAUUGUCCACGACAGAACCCGGCUUAUGGCCAACUCCGCUC